AUGGUUUCCGUCUUCCCUUUGAGUUCUCCGGCAAUUUCCUCUGGGUCUGGCAGCUUGACUCCCAGAUCUCCACCUGUGACUUUGAUGUCACUGGAUGGAAGUGAAAUGUCCGCCUCUCCUGAUGGCAGAGUGACUUGGGUCUGGGGACUCUUGACUUUGGGAAUCUUGACGCUUGGCAUUUUGACUUUGGGCCCCUCAAGUUUCAUUUUCUCUCCUGCUUUUCCAACAGACGCUGUCAUGUCCACAUCAAGGCUGGGGGCCGUCAAUUCCGUUCCCGGGAGGCUGAGAGCCACAUCCACAGAGGUUGCAGGGAGGGCCACCUGGGAGUCCUUAAGGCUGGCUUCCACUUCUCCCACUGGGCCUGAGUCUUUGCUGGAGGACCAGCCGAAGGCCGGCAUGCUGAAUUUGGGCAAUUUGAAUUGGCCAUCUUUGGCCUCGGCUCCCUUAGCUCCCAGUUUGAUCUCUCCCUCCACCUUGCCAACUUCGACCAUGGCGCCCGGUCCCUGGAUGUCCACCUCGACCUUGGGGAGGGUUACGUCCACAAUGGGGAUACUGAUGUCUACCUUGGGGUCUUUGGUGUCUACUUUGGGCAUUUUGACACUGGGCAUUUCUAUCUUCCUUCCUGAUAUCUUUGUGGAUGCCUCAGGAGUUUCUGGCACCGAGACUUUGAGGCUAGGAGCGUCCACAGAGAUCCCUCCCAUGGCCGCACUGACUUUGGGCAGAGAGAUGUCCAUGUCAGGCUGGGCGAUGCUGAUGGAGGUCUCGGGGCCUUUACCUUUGGACGGUGAGAAGCCGAACUUCGGUUUCUGGAAGCCAGGCAUUUUGAUCUUCUUGCCAAGAUCUUCCACUCCAACAUCCGGCUCCUCUAGGGUGACCUCUGAUGGAGGAAACUUGAGGUCAAUGUCUGGGCCCUUGGCCUGGAGAGAGCCCUCCACUGUGGGCAGUUUGACAUCCACCUGUGGAAGGCUGAGGUCCGUCCCUACAGCCAAGUCAACGUUGGAGGUGGAGAUGUCUACGGCCGGGAUGCUGACCUCAGUCUUGGGGAGACUGAGGUCGACGCUGCCCUCAGGCGCUUUGACAUCUCCCUUGGAAAAACUUAUGCUGGGCAUCUUGACCUUUGGCAUGUGA
rnacentral:lncRNA from 1 species